UACGGAGGGUGCGAGCGUUGUCCGGAAUCACUGGGCGUAAAGCGCGCGUAGGCGGCCCGGUAAGUCCGCUGUAAAAGUCCAGGGCUCAACCCUGGAAAGCCGGUGGAUACUGUCGGGCUUGAGCACGGUAGAGGCAGAUGGAAUUCCCGGUGUAGCGGUGGAAUGCGUAGAGAUCGGGAAGAACAUCGGUGGCGAAGGCGGUCUGCUGGGCCGUUGCUGACGCUGAGGCGCGACAGCGUGGGGAGCAAACAGG
rnacentral:rRNA from 1 species